rnacentral:rRNA from 2 species
UUUAAAUGUAAAUUUUUGAACUAAAUUAGUAAUAGAUAUGAUCUUCAAAUUUAAAGAUUUUGGCGGUAUUUUAGUCUAUUCAGAGGAACCUGUUCUGUAAUUGAUAGUCCACGAUUAACUUUACUUAAUUUUAAAAAUUUGUAUAUCGUUGUUUAUAGAAAAUUUUAUAAGAAAAAUAAUUUUUAAUAAAUUUUAUUAAAUUAUAAAUCAAAUCAAGGUGCAGUUUAUAGUUAAGGUAGAAAUGGGUUACAAUAAAUUUAUUUAUAAAUGGAUAUAAAUUUUAAAAUUUUAUUAAAGGUGGAUUUGAUAGUAAUAUUAUUAAUUUAAAUAAUAUGAUUAUAGCUCUAAAAUAUGU